GGAGGAGAGAAUGGAGGAGAGAAUGGAGGAGAAUAGAGGAGAGAAUGGAGGAGAGAAUGGAGGAGAGAAUGGAGGAGAAUAGAGGAGAGAAUGGAGGAGAAUAGAGGAGAGAAUGGAGGAGAGAAUGGGGAGAGAAUGGAGGAGAGAAUGGAGGAGAGAAUGGAGGAGAGAAUGGAGGAGAGAAUGGAGGAGAGAAUGGAGGAGAGAAUGGAGGAGAAUAGAGGAGAGAAUGGAGGAGAGAAUGGAGGAGAGAAUGGAGGAGAAUAGAGGAGAGAAUGGAGGAGAAUAGAGGAGAGAAUAGAGGAGAGAAUGGAGGAGAGAAUAGAGGAAAGAAUGGAGGAGAGAAUGGAGGAGAAUAGAGGAGAGAAUGGAGGAGAGAAUGGAGGAGAGAAUGGAGGAGAAUAGAGGAGAGAAUGGAGGAGAGAAUGGAGGAGAAUAGAGGAGAGAAUGGAGGAGAGAAUGGAGGAGA
ensembl:lncRNA